rnacentral:rRNA from 1 species
CCCUUAGAUGUUCUGGGCUGCACGCGCGCUACACUGAAGCUAUCAACACGUUUUCCCUCCCUGAGAAGGGCGGGUAACCUUUUGAAUCAGCUUCGUGGUAGGGAUCGGGGCUUGCAAUUGUUCCCCGUGAACCAGGAAUUCCUAGUAGACGCGAGUCAUAAGCUCGCAUCGAUUAAGUCCCUGCCCUUUGUACACACCGCCCGUCGCUACUAACGAUUGAACGUUUUAGUGAGGCAUUUGGACCGACGCAUCUCAGUUUAACCGCUGGUUUGUGUUGGAAAGACUUCCAAACUUGAGCGUUUAGAGGAAGUAAAAGUCGUAACA